UCAAUAUAAAUUGAUUAAUAUUUAUUUAUUAAAAUUUUUUAUUAUAUUUAUUUAUUAUUAAAAAUAGUUAUAUAAAUUAUAGUUUCAGUAGAUUUUAUCGAAUAAAUUUUAUUAAUGAUAGUUUAUUAGUACUGUGAAGGAUUAUUGAAAUAUAUUGAAAAAUUUUUAUAUAUAAAGAAAAUUUAUUUUAUUGUACCUUGUGUAUCAGGGUAAAUUAAUUAAGUAGUAUUUAUAUACUUAUCUCGAUUUUAUAAGAGUUAAUUGUAUAUUUAAUUUAAUGUAAUAAGGUUAUUUAUAAUAUAUAAUUUGAAAUGAAAUGUUAUUCGUUUAUAAUGGUAUCUAGUUUUUUUAGAAAUGAAUUUAAUUCAGUAACUUUUAAUUUUUUAUUUAAUUAUUAAAAUUAAAAAUUUAUUAGUUAUAAUAUUUUAAGGGAUAAGCUUUAAAAUAAAUUUUUAUAAUUAUCUAUUUUGUAUUAAAUAUGUAUGUAUAGAAAUUGCAAUCAUUUAUAAGUUUGUAAUAAAUUAUUAUAAAACUUUAUUAUUUAGUUAAUGAUUUAAAUUUUUAUAAAAGUUUUUAUUUUAAUUUUAAAGGUAAAUUGAUAAUGAUUUAAUUAGUAUAUAGUUAUAUAAUUAUUGUGUAUAUAUUUGUAUAGAUGGUAGGUUUAUAUAAAGACUCGGCAAGUAAAAAUACUCGCCUGUUUAACAAAACAUGUCUUUUUGUAUUUAAUUUAAAGUCUAACCUGCCCAAUGAAGUUUUAAAUGGCCGCAGUAUUCUAACUGUGCAAAGGUAACAUAAUCAUUAGUCUUUUAAUUGAAGGCUGGAAUGAAUGGUUGGACGAAGUAUAAUCUGUUUCAUAUACAUUUUUAUAAAAUUUUUUAUUUUAGUUAAAAAGCUAAAAUUUUAUUAAAAGACGAGAAGACCCUAUAAAUCUUUAUAAGAUGAUUAAUUUUAAUUUUUUGGAUAUAUUUUGUUAUAAUUUAUUUUUUUAUUUUGUUGGGGUGAUAUUAAAAUUUAGUGGACUUUUAAUUUUGAAGCUCAUUAAUUUAUGAAUAGUUGAUCCUUUAUUAUGGAUUAUAAGAUUAAGUUACUUUAGGGAUAACAGCGUAAUUUUUCUGGAGAGUUCUUAUCGAUAGAAAGGAUUGCGACCUCGAUGUUGGAUUAAGAUAAAUUUUUAGGUGUAGUUGCUUAAGGUUAAAGUCUGUUCGACUUU
rnacentral:rRNA from 1 species